AGAUUGAACGCUGGCGGCAUGCUUUACACAUGCAAGUCGAACGGCAGCGCGGGGGCAACCCUGGCGGCGAGCGGCGGACGGGUGAGUAAGGCAUCGGAAUCUGCUCUGAUGUGGGGGAUAACGUAGGGAAACUUACGCUAAUACCGCAUACGACCGAGAGGUGAAAGCGGGGGACCGGAAAGGCCUCGCGCAGCAGGAUGAGCCGAUGUCCGAUUAGUUAGUUGGUGGGGUAAAGGCCUACCAAGGCUACGAUCGGUAGCUGGUCUGAGAGGACGACCAGCCACACUGGGACUGAGACACGGCCCAGACUCCUACGGGAGGCAGU
rnacentral:rRNA from 1 species